GGGGCUUUAAUCCAAGAUUCCCAUUAUGAAGAUGGUGCAAUCAAUCCAUCUGACUUCUUAAUACCUCUGUGUGGGUUUUUUUCCCCCCCUGUGACUAGGAGUGACUCACUGCAGCUUCCCUGAAUCGCUCUGGAGAAGCAGCUUGCUUAUCUGUGAUACUUGUCCUGCUUCUGUUCCCCUCAGAGGGUGAGUGAUGGGCCAGUACCUGCCUAGCUUGUCUUAAGUCUGGUUGUAGGGACAGGCAGUGGUGUGGAGCUGCUGUGCCCUCCCAGGAGAUUGGCCUGGGCCAGCCUUGGCACUGAGGAGCUGUUGGAAGAGAUGCUGCAGUUGUGGUUGUUCUCUUGGUGCUCAGAGAGCCAAAAGUUUUACUGGGAUUUUUUUUUUUUUACUGUGUUCUCCUUUGCUCCUGUGAAUGCUCUCCUUUGGUAAGCAGGAAUGUUCAGAAAAAACAUCUGGAGCUGCUGGGUGAGAAGAAAACCAUAUCAGCAGUUGAUCUGAAUAGGGAUAACAGUUCUUGAUGGGAGAUCAAGGCUAUGGGUCGCUAAAUCCCACCAGAGUCUGGCCCCUUAUACAUUGCUGUGAUGUCACAUGGAUACAGGCUCAAAGGAUAUGCCAGGGGAGAAAUCUUCCUGCCUGAGGGGAAAUCCUGAAAGGGUUUGUUUGUGACAUCCCUCUCUCGUGUUUGCAUGUGGAUGAUGAAGAUGCUGCCCUGCUCAUCAGGAAAUGAGUAGGCUGCCUGCCUCCAGCCUCAGAGGAGCUGCAUUGAGGCUGGUGGAAUCACUAUGGCUCAGCACCAGCCCUGAACCAGUAUUUGCCCCAGCACUGCCACUUGUUCUGUGGUUUUGCAUGUUUUAUCUUUCACCUGUGUCUCAGUGCUGUGCUCCACUGAGGAGCUUAGGA